rnacentral:rRNA from 1 species
UGGGGAAUAUUGGGCAAUGGGCGCAAGCCUGACCCAGCAAUGCCGCGUGUGUGAAGAAGGCCCGAGGGUUGUAAAGCACUUUCACUGGGGAGGAUUACCAGAGAAGAAGCGCCGGCUAACUCCGUGCCAGCAGCCGCGGUAAUACGGAGGGCGCGAGCGUUAAUCGGAAUUACUGGGCGUAAAGCGUGCGUAGGCGGCGCGUAAGUCAGGCGUGAAAGCCCCGGGCUCAACCUGGGAACUGCGCUUGAUACUGGCCGCUCGGGUUUGGCAGAGGGGGCGGAAUUCCGGGUGUAGCGGUGAAAUGCGUAGAUAUCCGGAGGAACACCAGUGGCGAAGGCGGCCCCCUGGGCUAAAACUGACGCUGAGGCACGAAAGCGUGGGUAGCAAACAGGAUUAGAUACCCUUGUAGU